ACGCUCGACACCUACGGGGCAGCAGUGGGGAAUAUUGCACAAUGGGGGAAACCCUGAUGCAGCGACGCCGCGUGAAGGAAGAAGUAUCUCGGUAUGUAAACUUCUAUCAGCAGGGAAGAAAGUGACGGUACCUGACUAAGAAGCCCCGGCUAACUACGUGCCAGCAGCCGCGGUAAUCUGAGGCGGGCUGGCAAGGC
rnacentral:rRNA from 1 species